GACGAACGCUGGCGGCGUGCCUAAUACAUGCAAGUUGAGCGCUGAAGGUUGGUACUUGUCCCGACUGGAUGAGCAGCGAACGGGUGAGUAACGCGUGGGGAAUCUGCCUUUGAGCGGGGGACAACAUUUGGAAACGAAUGCUAAUACCGCAUAAAAACUUUAAACACAAGUUUUAAGUUUGAAAGAUGCAAUUGCAUCACUCAAAGAUGAUCCCGCGUUGUAUUAGCUAGUUGGUGAGGUAAAGGCUCACCAAGGCGAUGAUACAUAGCCGACCUGAGAGGGUGAUCGGCCACAUUGGGACUGAGACACGGCCCAAACUCCUACGGGAGGCAGCAGUAGGGAAGCUUCGGCAAUGGACGAAAGUCUGACCGAGCAACGCCGCGUGAGUGAAGAAGGUUUUCGGAUCGUAAAACUCUGUUGGUAGAGAAGAACGUUGGUGAGAGUGGAAAGCUCAUCAAGUGACGGUAACUACCCAGAAAGGGACGGCUAACUACGUG
rnacentral:rRNA from 1 species